CACGCAGUAAACGAUGAUUACUAGCUGUUUGCGAUACAUUGUAAGCGGCUGAGCGAAAGCGUUAAGUAAUCCACCUGGGGAGUACGUUCGCAAGAAUGAAACUCAAAGGAAUUGACGGGGGCCCGCACAAGCGGAGGAACAUGUGGUUUAAUUCGAUGAUACGCGAGGAACCUUACCCGGGCUUGAAAUGCAUCCGAUGUAUCCGGAAACGGAUAUUCCCUUCGGGGCGGAUGUGUAGGUGC
rnacentral:rRNA from 1 species